rnacentral:rRNA from 2 species
ACGUCUGAUGGAGCACGCCGCGUGAGUGAAGAAGGGUUUCGGCUCGUAAAACUCUGUUGUUAAAGAAGAACAUAUCUGAGAGUAACUGUUCAGGUAUUGACGGUAUUUAACCAGAAAGCCACGGCUAACUACGUGCCAGCAGCCGCGGUAAUACGUAGGUGGCAAGCGUUGUCCGGAUUUAUUGGGCGUAAAGCGAGCGCAGGCGGUUUUUUAAGUCUGAUGUGAAAGCCUUCGGCUCAACCGAAGAAGUGCAUCGGAAACUGGGAAACUUGAGUGCAGAAGAGGACAGUGGAACUCCAUGUGUAGCGGUGAAAUGCGUAGAUAUAUGGAAGAACACCAGUGGCGAAGGCGGCUGUCUGGUCUGUAACUGACGCUGAGGCUCGAAAGUAUGGGUAGCAAACAGGAUUAGAUACCCUGGUAGUCCAUACCGUAAACGAUGAAUGCUAAGUGUUGGAGGGUUUCCGCCCUUCAGUGCUGCAGCUAACGCAUUAAGCAUUCCGCCUGGGGAGUACGGCCGCAAGGCUGAAACUCAAAGGAAUUGACGGGGGCCCGCACAAGCGGUGGAGCAUGUGGUUUAAUUCGAAGCUACGCGAAGAACCUUACCAGGUCUUGACAUACUAUGCAAAUCUAAGAGAUUAGACGUUCCCUUCGGGGACAUGGAUACAGGUGGUGCAUGGUUGUCGUCAGCUCGUGUCGUGAGAUGUUGGGUUAAGUCCCGCAACGAGCGCAACCCUUAUUAUCAGUUGCCAGCAUUAAGUUGGGCACUCUGGUGAGACUGCCGGUGACAAACCGGAGGAAGGUGGGGAUGACGUCAAAUCAUCAUGCCCCUUAUGACCUGGGCUACACACGUGCUACAAUGGAUGGUACAACGAGUUGCGAACUCGCGAGAGUAAGCUAAUCUCUUAAAGCCAUUCUCAGUUCGGAUUGUAGGCUGC